GACCGGAAAGUCUUAGGAGCAUGCAUGCUCUGCGGUGCCGCCAUCUUUGUGAGGGGCGGGCACUACCCAUGAGUUUGGUGCAGUUUAAUGAAGGUAAGAAGUGGAUUUAUUUAGAGAGAAACAUACUCCACAGACAGAGUGUGGACCAUCCCAGAAGGCAGAUGGGUAGAUCCUGGCAUAGCUUGAUCAUGGACCACUCUGCAAGCACGUAAUAAACAUGAGGAAUGAUUAAGGUUAUGCCUGGAGAUUUCGUCUGCAUUCUCUCUGAGGAAUGAUGAGCAUCUUCUCAUGUUUAUUUAUUGGCAUUUGUGUAUCUUCUUUGGUGAAACGUGUUUUCAAGUUUCAAGUUUUAUUUGGUUAUCUCUCAUUACUGAGUUUUGAAGAGUUUUUCUCUGUAUUUGGCAUUCAAGUCCUGCAAGAGAUACGCAAAUAACUUCUCCCAGUCUGACCUGUCUUCAUCUUUUUAAUGGUGGGUGUCUUUACAAGUGGCAAGUUUUACAUUUUUAAGCCAAAUAUAAGGGAUUGUGG